AUGUUCUUGUCUUGGGUAGAGCCGGGAGACGAGUUCGUGAACGAGGAACCUGUCGAGUACGCUUACGAGGAUCAAGCUUUCGACAACUCUGAGAAUCUUGCAGGCAAGAUGACCACCCCUCGAAAUCACUUCUAUCUUUGUUAUGCUAGUUGUUCGCUCUAUUGCCAUGCUCGCUACCUAUCACUUGCUAUAUCUUGUCUCCUAUUUUUAGCCAUGUCAGCCUCUAACCAUCCGCUCCUAGCAAACCGUUGUUUGGCUAUGUUACCGCUUUUGCUCAGCCCCUCUUAUAGCGUUGCUAGCUGCAGGUGA
rnacentral:rRNA from 1 species